AGGGGCAUUGACUCAGUGAGUGGAAGAGGUUUGUUUGAAACAGACCGUAAUGGAGAGACCAGCGCCCAGGGAAGCGAGGGAGCAGCAGGCUCCUUCCGGCAGCGCAUCGAGAUGCAAAUACUGGAAGGACCUGGAUGUUAUCAUAUUUCCUCGGUAGAAAGCCAUGUGUGACUAGCUGCUUCUAACAAUCAGCAGGGCGUGGCCAGCUCUGCCAAGGUGGCAAUGGAUGCCAAUCUCAGAAUGUCCGCCGACAGAUUGCCUUCAUGCCGAGCAAGUGAAUGAGGUGUCCGCAAAGUGAUAAGAGUAAAGUGCAGAGUGGACCAGAUGCUGCCAGAGCAGAUGAGUUUCUCCAGCCAUUUUUCCAAGGGUUCAAGUCAAGUCUUCAACCAGAUCCCAGUGAAGAAUGAGCACAGAUCAAUGAUGAAGAACAGGUUACCUGGAACCAUGAGGUUGAUGGAAUUACUGGUCACAUUAAAUAUCAUUCCACCAGGACCCCUAUUGAUCACGACACACUAGUAUCAACCUUGGAGAUGGGCCUGGAAGGAUUCAAUUGCCAGCUCUCUCCUGUCCGAGCGAAAGUUGUAAUUCUGGCUGGCAUUGUUUAAGGCUUUCUGUUGGAAGUACCACUGAAAGUAGGGUCCUGUACCUUGGCUUAACACACGCUGUUGAUCAAGAUGACUCCCAACUGGAACCUCCAUUUUAUUGGCUCGGAGGAUGAGGAAAACCCUGUCAACAGGAACUGGAACAAAACAAAGCCAAAUAGGAAAUAAAAGAUCAGGUGCUGAAUUUGUCUA